rnacentral:pre_miRNA from 12 species
ACAUCGGAGACCAGGUUGGCGACGCGUAUUCUUGGGGAAUUAACACACAUACGCGCUGUUAUUGCUUGAGAAUACACGUAGUUUGCCUGGUCGAUCUCUGC